rnacentral:misc_RNA from 1 species
AAAAUGCGAUACGCAAUGCGAAUUGCAGAAUUCCGCGAAUCAUCAGAUCCUUGAACGCAACUGGCGCUGGAGGGCUCCCCUUCCAGCAUGCCUGUUUCAGUGUCUGAAAACAUCCACAACAAUCAUAAUGUGUUUGACGAGUUGUCGUCCCUCUGGGCCGGCGAUGAGUCUUACAUCAAAGAUGUAUGCGUGGGUCUUCGGGUCCCAUCGAAUUGGUCGCUGAGAUCUUCAGUGAUUUCGAUUGUGGAUACUUCAAACUGAAGAAUUCCCAAAUACGCAUGGAACUGCCCCUAAAAAAGGCAUCAACUUCAACAUCUGCAUCUGAAAUCAGGCAAGAACACCCGCUGAACUUAA